GGAUAACACUGAGAAAUUGGUACUAAUACCCCAUAAUAUCAUAGAAGGCAUCUUUUAUGGUUGAAAAUUCCGAUGGUUAGAGAUGGGCAUGCGUUGUAUUAGCUAGUUGGUGGGGUAACGGCUCACCAAGGCGACGAUACAUAGGGGGACUGAGAGGUUAACCCCCCACACUGGUACUGAGACACGGACCAGACUCCUACGGGAGGCAGCAGUGAGGAAUAUUGGUCAAUGGACGCAAGUCUGAACCAGCCAUGCCGCGUGCAGGAUGACGGCUCUAUGAGUUGUAAACUGCUUUUGUACGAGGGUAAACGCAGAUACGUGUAUCUGUCUGAAAGUAUCGUACGAAUAAGGAUCGGCUAACUCCGUGCCAGCAGCCGCGGUAAUACGGAGGAUUCAAGCGUUAUCCGGAUUUAUUGGGUUUAAAGGGUGCGUAGGCGGUUUGAUAAGUUAGAGGUGAAAUUUCGGGGCUCAACCCUGAACGUGCCUCUAAUACUGUUGAGCUAGAGAGUAGUUGCGGUAGGCGGAAUGUAUGGUGUAGCGGUGAAAUGCUUAGAGAUCAUACAGAACACCGAUUGCGAAGGCAGCUUACCAAACUAUAUCUGACGUUGAGGCACGAAAGCGUGGGGAGCAAACAGGAUUAGAUACCCUGGUAGUCCACGCAGUAAACGAUGAUAACUCGUUGUCGGCGAUACAAGUCGGUGACUAAG
rnacentral:rRNA from 1 species